CCCUUAGAUGUUCUGGGCCGCACGCGCGCUACACUGACGCAUGCAACGAGCUUAUAACCUUGGCCGAAAGGUCUGGGUAAUCUCCAAAUUUCGUCGUGAUGGGGAUAGAUUAUUGCAAUUAUUAAUCUUCAACGAGGAAUGCCUAGUAAGCGCAAGUCAUCAGCUUGCGUUGAUUACGUCCCUGCCCUUUGUACACACCGCCCGUCGCUCCUACCGAUUGAAUGGUCCGGUGAAGCGUUCGGACCGUGGCCUUUGGACGGUUCGCCGUCUGUUGGCUGCGGGAAGUUCGUUAAACCUUAUCAUUUAGAGGAAGGAGAAGCCGUAACA
rnacentral:rRNA from 1 species